GCGGCGGACGGGUGAGUCAAUGCUUAGAGAAUCUGCCUAUUAGUGGGGGACAACAUCUCGAAAGGGAUGCUAAUACCGCAUACGUCCUACGGGAGAAAGCAGGGGACCUUCGGGCCUUGCGCUAAUAGAUGAGCCUAACUCGGAUUAGCUAGUUGGUGGGGUAAAGGCCUACCAAGGCGACGAUCUGUAGCGGGUCUGAGAGGAUGAUCCGCCACACUGGGACUGAGACACGGCCCAGACUCCUACGGGAGGCAGCAGUGGGGAAUAUUGGACAAUGGGGGGAACCCUGAUCCAGCCAUGCCGCGUGUGUGAAAAAGGCCUUUUGUUUGUAAAGCACUUUAACCGAGGAUCACGCUACUGGUAUUGACACUACCGGAGAGUGAACGGUACUCGAAUACCAGACGCCGCCUAUCUCUGUGUGAACAGCCCCCUGAAUGCAGAGACCGCGAGCGGUUCUCCGAUUUGCUGCGAAUUAAGCGUGCUGCUCCACCUUUUGUGCUCGCAUGCGACAUCUCUGAUGAUUUUAAUCUUGUGCCCGCAAUCCUGGGACGCUCUACUAUGCGAGAGGAUGGCACAAUUAAAGGUGCAGAGGCGAAAUGCGUAGAUAUCUGUCGUAACCCGAUGGAGAACGCGCUAUCU
rnacentral:rRNA from 1 species